GGGGCUGAUUCUGGAUUCGACGGGAUUUGCGAAACCCAAGGUGCAUGCCGAGGGGCGGUUGGCCUCGUAAAAAGCCGCAAAAAAAUAGUCGCAAACGACGAAAACUACGCUUUAGCAGCUUAAUAACCUGCUUAGAGCCCUCUCUCCCUAGCCUCAGCUCUUAGGACGGGGAUCAAGAGAGGUCAAACCCAAAAGAGAUCGCGCGGAUGCCCUGCCUGGGGUUGAAGCGUUAAAACGAAUCAGGCUAGUCUGGUAGUGGCGUGUCCGUCCGCAGGUGCCAGGCGAAUGUAAAGACUGACUAAGCAUGUAGUACCGAGGAUGUAGGAAUUUCGGACGCGGGUUCAACUCCCGCCAGCUCCACCA
rnacentral:tmRNA from 1 species